UCUCAUUUUUUUUUAAUUGAAGUAUAGUUGAUUUACAAUGUUUUGUUAGUUUCAGGUGUACAGCAGAGUGAUUCAGUUAUGUAUAUAUAUGUGUGUGUGCCUGUGUAUAUUCUUUUUCAGAUUCAUUUCCCUUAUAGGUUAUUAUAAAAUAUCGAGUAUAUAUAGUUCCUUAUGCUAUACAGUAGGUCCUUGUUGGUUAUCUAUUUUGUAUAUAGUAGUGUGUAUAUGUUAAUCCCAAACUCCUAAUUUAUCCCUCCCCCCCUCCUUUCCCCUUUGGUAACCAUAAGUUUGUUUUCUAUGUCUAUGGGUCUAUUUCUGUUUCGUACUUAAGUGCAUCUGUAACAUUUUUUUUUUAGAUUCUACAUAUAAGCGAUAUCAUAUGAUUUGUCUUUCUCUGGCUUACUUCACUUAGUAUGAUAAUCUCUAGGUCCAUCCAUGUUGCUGCAAAUGGCAUUCUUCUUUUUUAUGGCUGAGUAAUAUUCCAUUGUAUGUAUUUACCAUAUCUUCUUCAUCCAUUCAUCUGUCAGUGGACACUUAGGUUGCUUCCAUGUCUUGACUAUUGUAAACAGUGCUGCAAUGAACAUUGGGGUGCAUGUAUCUUUUCAAAUUAUAGUUUUCUCCAGAUAUAUGCCCCGGAGUGGGGUCCCUGGAUCAUAUGGUAAUUCUGUUUAUAGUUUUUUAAGGAACCUCCAUACUGUUCUCCAUAGUGGCUGUACCAAUUUACAUUCCUACCAACAGUGUAGGAGGGUUCCUUUGAGAAUAUUGACAUUCUAACAGCUGGCAGUCCUGAGUUCUAAGAAAGUAGAUGCUUUCAGCUCUGGCCUUUUCUUGGGGGCUUUCAGCCACUAGAAGAGUCUAUCUUGAGAUGAUAGAAGAAAAACCGCCCAUGAUUUAGUCUCCUAAGUUCUGCACAGUGAUUUAAUUUCGUCACCAUCUGGUCCAUAUACUGUGACUUUUUGCUCAAUUAUAUGUGCAAAUUCACAUAAAUGAUUUCCAGCUGAAUUAUCAAUUCUGACUCCUGUUACUUAAUUUUUAGUAAUAUUAGAACUCAUAUAUUUUCACAUAUUCUUUUAACUAUAAAUCUUGCCUUGAUCUUAAAACUUUUUAGCUUCUCUUAUUUUCCUCAGCUAAUGCUCUUCUUCCCUUACCAACUUAAUACAUCAUAUUGUAUUGUUACAGCAAAGUUUGCAACGUAUGCAUGUGUGUAUUAUCCUUAUUCAUUUACAGACAAUCCUAGUACAACUGUAUGUAUUUCUCAGAGGCCAUUAUCUUAUUAGUGGAAUUUAAACCACUCAAAGCUAAUUAAGAGUGCUGUAAAAUGUAACCAGAGAAUAUGAAUGUUUAAUACAAUCAAAAAAUAUUGGAAAAUGCCUUAGAGAAUACACCUUUAAAUUAUUCCCAGAAGUUUUAUUAGGACGUUCCCUAUAGAUUCAUAUAAGUUUUUUUAUCAGUUAUGGCUCAAAGUUAAAUUUCUCUUUUUGAGCUUAAAACUCUUGCUAGGAAAAAAGUACUGAAUUUUUUUUUUAAGUGUCAUAUAGUUCCUCUCCCUCCCCCCUGCUCCCACCCUUGUUUGUAGUUAUCCUCUUGUUCUUGUUUCAUGGAUACAAUCAAUAUCUUAUUUCCCUAAAGAUAUUAUAGUUUUUGUUUUAAGUUCUUUUCUGUUUCCUACUUUUUUUUUUUUCUUGCUUGGUUUUUGCUUUUACCAUUGGAAACUUUUCUUUAGUGUCUAGUAGUCUUUGGCUAUGUUCAUAUUUAAAAGUGAGGAAUUAUGGGACUUCCCUGGUGAUCCAGUGGUUAAGACUCCAUGCUUCCACUGCAGGGGGCACAGGUUCAAUCCUUGGUUGGGGAACUAAGAUCCCACAUGCCUUGCAGUGUGGUCAAAAAAAAAAAAAAGGGAGGAAUUAAGCUAAUAGGAAGCUCUGUUUACAAGGGUAAGGCUUUUGGGUUUUGAUGUAGGUUGAUUGGAUCGUAAGCUGGCUUUUUUUUUAAUUGAGAAAUAAUUGACAUAUAACACUGUAAUUUUAAGGUAUGCAGUGUGUUUAUAUAUUGUAAUAUGAUUACUUCAGGAGCAUUAGCUAAUACCUUUAUCAUGUCACAUAUUUAUCAUUUCUUUUUAUGUUAAUAGUAGGUAAGAUUUAGUCUCUUAGUAACUUUAAAGUUUAUAGUACAGUAUUAUUGACUAUAAUCACUAUAUUGUACCUUAGUUCUCCAGAACUUAUUUAUUUACUAGUUACAAGUUUGUACCUUUAGUAUCGCCCCAAUUCCCCCAUCCCCAGCCCUUGGUAACCGUGUUCCAAGUUUUUACAAGUUCAGUUUUCCAAGUUUUUACAAGUUCAGUUUUCUUAGAUUCCACAUAUAAGUGAGAUCAUACAGUAUUUGUCCUUCUCUGAUUUACCUCACUUAGCAUAAUGCCUUUAAAGUCCAUCUAUGUUGUUCCAAAUGGCAGGAUUUCCUUCUUUCUCAUGGCUAAAUAAUAUUCCGUUGUAUAUAUAUAUACACCACAUCUUCUUUAUCCAUUCAGCUGUUGACAGACACUUAGGUUGUUUCCAUAUCUUGACUAUUGUGAAUAAAGAUGCAAUGAACAUGGGUAUGCAGAUACUGCUUUGAGAUACUGAUUUCAGUUCCUUUGGAUGUAUACCCAGGAGUGGGAUUGUUGGAUCAUAUGGUACUUCAAUUUUUAAUUUUUUGAGGAACUGCCAUACUGUUUUCCGUAAAGGUCAACUCAAUUUACAAUCCCACCAACUGUGCACAAGGGUCUCCUUUUCUCCAUAUCCUCACCAAUGUUGUUAUCUCUUGUCUUCUUGAUAAAAGCCAUCCUAACAGGUGUGAAGUGAAAUCUCACUGUGGUUUUGAUUUGCAUAUCCCUGAUGAUUAGUGAUGUUGACCAUCUUUUCAUGUAUUUUUUGGCCAUUUGUAUGUCUUCUUUGGAAAAAUAUCUAUUCAGGUCCUUUGCCCAUUUUUAAUUGGAUUAUUUUCUUUUUUUUGCUGUUGAGUUGUAUGAGUAUAUAUUUUGGAUAUUAGACCUUUAUCGGAUAUAUGGUUUACGAAUUCUCCCAUUCUGUAGAUUGUCUAUUCAAUUUAUUGAUGGUUUCCUUUGCUAUGCAGAAGCUCUUUAGUUUAAUGUAGUCCCAGUUAUUUAUUUUAGUUUUUGUUUCCUGUGUUUUGGUGACUUAUCUAGGAAAUCACUGCCUGGACCAAUGUCAAGGAUCUUUUCCCCUAUGUUUUCUUCUGGGAGUUUUAUGGCUCAGGUCUUACAUUUGAAUCUUUGAUUGAUUUUGAGUUAAUUUUUGUGAAUGCUGUAGGGUAAGUUUCAUUCUUUUGCAUGUGGAUAUCUAGUUUUCCUAGCACCAUUUAUUGAAGAAACUGUCCUUUCCCUAUUGUGUAUUCUUGGCACCCUUGUCAAAAAUUAGCUGACUAUAUAUAUGGUACUAUAUAUAUGCCAGUACCAUACUGUUGUUUUUUUUAAAUAAAUUUAUUUUAUUUAUUUAUUUUUGGCUGCAACAGGUCUUCGUUGCUGUGCGUGGGCUUUCUCUAGUUGUGGUGAGUGGGGGCUACUUUUCCUCGAGGUGCGCGGACUUCUCGUUGCGGUGGCUUCUCUUGUCGCGGAGCACGGGCUCUAGCACGCAGGCUCAGUAGUUGUGGCUUGAGGUCUGUAGAGCACAGGCUCAGUAGUUGUGGCGCACAGGCUUAGUUGCUCCUCAGCAUGUGGGAUCUUCCCAGACCGGUGCAUGAACCCGUGUCCCCUGCAUCAGCAGGCGGACUCUCAACCACUGCGCCACCAGGGAAGCCCCGCUUUCCUUGCUUUUGAUGGCUUUGACAACUUUGAGGAGGACUAGUCACGUAUUCUACAGAAUGUCCCUCAGUUGGGAUUUGUCUGAUGUUUUUCUUAGGAUUAGACUGGAGUUAUGGGUUUUGAGAGGAAGACCACAGAGGUAAAGUGCUGUUCUUAUCACACCGUGUCAAAGGUACAUACUAUCAACAUGACCUCCCUGUUGAUGUUAACCUUGAUCAUCUGGCUGACUAGUGUUUAUCAGGUUUCUCCACUGUAAAGUACUCUCCCCGACCCCUCCCCACCGCCUUUCCAUGUCGUAUGCUUUGGAAAGCAGUCACUAUGCACAGCCCACACUUCAGGAGUGAGGGGUGUAUGCUCCACCUCCUUGGAGGUGGGGGGGUAUCUACAUAAAUUAUUUGGAGUUAUUCUGCGUGGGAAAUUUGUCUUUUCUCCCAUAUUUAUUUAUUCAUUCAAUUUAUUUGUAUUAGUAUGGCUUGAUGGGUAUUUAUUUAUUUAUUUAUUGGGUAUUUAUUUUAUACUUUGGGUUAUAAUAAAGUAAUACUUCAUCUUGUUGCUCAAAUUGUUCUAGCUUUGGUUACUGCAAACUCUUUCAGUUGGCCUUGUGUCCCUUUGAUAUAUCCUCAUCAUUUGUUUUUGUUGUUGUUACUGUGUUUCAUUUUUUUAGCAUUCUUACUUUUUUUGGCACUACAAGAUGCUCAAGACUCAUCUCGUAUAUACUCUGCCUAGUUCUAGAAUCAGACAUUUCUCCAAGGAGCCCUGGUUCUUUUUUUUUUUUUGCUGUGGGGGUGUGGAGAAUGAUACUAGAAACCAAGAUCUGAGUGCUAGGUAUUCUUGUUGCUGCUGGGUAUCAUUGCUUCCAGGGUCUCUCAGCUUGCAGAGCAAGGAAAUAUAUAUGAGUAUACCAACUUAUGUACAUAUACAUAUCUACAAGUAUUUAUGUAUAUAUAUAUAGUGUGUGUGUGUGUAUAUAUACAAUAUAUCUAACCAUCUGUAUUUAUAUUAAGCUAAUCGUGAGUUUAUACUAAUGGCCUCAACUCUAAUCCAGAACCUGGAUCAUUCUAGCCUUCUCUACUCGCUUGUCUGUGGCCUCCCACUCUCGCAGAGAGAAAACAACCUCCUGCCAUCCACUCUUCAUUUACUUAAUUGUCUAAUUCCAGUAUACAUUCGGCCCUCUGUAUCUGCAGACUUGAAAGCUGAAAGCUUUUCAUAUACACUUUUAGCCAAUCUUUUUUUUUUUUCAGCCUCUUGCUUUUCUGAAGUAUCAAGGCCUUCAAUUCCUGAGCAUUUCUAGAGUUAUAGAUGUCAUUGCUCGUUUCUUGGUGCAGUCACUCUCUGCAGGCACUGAGGUGUCAGUGUUUCCUCUGCUAAGCUGUUACUUCUCUGUCAGCUUUCUGUCUUCCAAAAUUAUGUUAAGCUCUCUUGUCCUUGUGGGUUUAUGCCACACUUAUGUAUUUUGCAAAUACAGCUCUUAAUGUACAGUUGUGAUAAAAAAUAAUUGUGUGCAGUUGAUGUCUUUCUUUUCCCCCCCUUUUUAAAAAAUCAAAUUUAUUUAGGUAUUAUUUACAUACAGAAUAAUAUGCACCCAUUUUUUAAAUUAUUAAAGAUUAAUUAAUUGAUUUUUAUUGAACUGUAGUUAACAUACAUGCUCAUUUCUUCAUGAGCAUUCCCUGACUGCUCUUGGGUCAGGAAUAAACCUAUAAAAAACUAUCAGUAGUAUUCUUUUGAAACUUGCUGAAGUUAACAUUUCUGCUUCAUUUGUGGUUGCUCCCAUGGCAACACCAUAGUAACUGUAACUGCUGGCAGGGUUUGAAAGUUUCUACUUUGACUUUCUUUUAUGGCAGUUUGCUCUUUCACACACACUCUUUCUUAUUCUUUUGCAGCAUGUGGAAUACCAGCAGGGCAGACUGUUUUAUAUUAUGGACAACUAACUUUGGACAUAUCAUUAAAAAAAUAGGGGACAGAAUUCAAAUCUGUUUUCUUUAGUAACAGGAAUAAAAUAUUUAUAAAAUUCCUAAUUGUUUCUAUAAUUCCAAUAAAUGGAACUGGUACCUUCUAAUGGUUUACAGUUAUGGUUUUUUAAAAAGUUCAUUCAAGUUUAUUUAUUUGCUUAUUAUUGAGGUAUAGUUGAUGCACAAUAUUAUAUAAAUUUCAGGUGUACAACCUAGUGAUUCACAAUUUUUAAAGGUUAUAUUCCACUUGUAGUUUUUAUAAAAUAUUGGCUACAUUCCCUGUGUUGUACAGUAUAUCCUUGUAGCUCAUUUAUUUCAUACAUAGUAGUCUGUACCUUUUACUCCCCCACCCCUCUCUUGCCCCUCCUCCCUUCCCUCUCCCCACUGGUAACCACUAGUUUAUUCUCUAUAUCUGCGAGUCUGUUUCUUUUUUGUUAUAUUCACUAAUUUAUUUUUCAGAUUCCAUAUAUAAGUAAUAUAUAUUUUAUGUUUUACUGAAUGUACUGAAAGGGCUGCAUGCGUUUUUUUUAUCCUAAGGGAUUAAAUGGGAUGAGAUAAAAUAGCAAUUUUAAGAAGGGGUACUGAACUAGGUGAAGGCUUAGAUUAAAGAGAUGCUUUUAGUGUGCCCACUAUGGGAUGCAUGACUUCUCUUAUGUGAUCUCAUUUACUUUUAUUCUGCAAAUGACCACAAUGGAGCUAUGAACCCUUUACAGAUAUGAACUUGGAGCCUUUGUCUUCAGUCAGGGCAGAGCCAAAGUGGGAAGUCAGGGCCUGUGCACUUUCCACUGGGCUUAGGUCCUGUAUUUCUCUAGCUUAGCUUUCCCUAGCUUAGGUCCUGUAUUUCCCCUGUGCUUUGCUUCCAGGUUAAUGAGAGCCAGUGUAGCACAGUGGGUAAGCAUGGACUCUGAAGCCACACUGCCUGCAUUCAAAUAUCUAUACUACCAUGUACCACUUGGGAUCUUUGCCUCAGUUUCUCUAUCUGUAAAAUGGAGAGAAUGAUAGUUGUGGUGGGAAUUAAUAUUGUAAAACACCUAGUAAACAUUAUAUCAAUACAAGUGUUUACUAAAUAAUAGGUAAAUUGUGUUGCACUUCUUGUCCUCCUACUGUGCUCAAUACCAAAAGGAAAGCAGAUAUUGUCUUUAGGUCUUCCCAUAAGGGCCAGCUCUGUGGAAACAGAAAUGUGUAUAGAUGUGAGAGAGUUCCUUCUUACAUGGACGGUUUGGGCCAGGCAGGUAAUACGUUUUAACUAAAAUGUCACUUAGCAGCGCUAACCCUCAAAUGAUGUUCUUAAGCAAAAUCUAAGUGCUUAUAAGACUUGUAUAUCGUUGAAUAGCUACAUAGAGCUUUAAUAAGGGUGAAAAAUUCCAGUGGUUGAACUGAAAUAAUCAGAUGAGGAAUGGUAAAAUAAUCUAAUUAUUUUGUCUUUCUAAAGUGAGGGGGCUGAGCUAGAUGACUUCAAAUACAUGUGAUUUUUAUAAUCAUUAAGCUUCUUGGUUUAGUCAGCUAGCUCAGACCUGGAAUGUAGAUGCUAAUGUGCUUAGAUUAAAAAAUGGAAUGAUGUAAUAGCUGAAAAUCCUCUGGUGUCAUUUGCCUAAUUAAAAUCCCCAAAGCUGCCUAUCUGGCACAUAAAAGCAACCACUAGAUUGCAGAGAUCUUUGGUUAUAACUUUGUGUCCUUUUGUCCAUGAGCCAUUGUAACCCCUUAUCCCUAUGUUGAAUAAGUCAAUGACCUUGGUGCUGUACUGCACCUGAGGUUACUUUUUAAAUGAAGGAAUUAAGACAAUAUUGUUAUCACCUGUAGGCGGGUGACCUGCCCAGGAUGUUAUCCAGUGCAGACUCUGGGACGGCACGUCUGUUUCAGAAUACCAGUUCCACAUGGGGAAUUGAAUAGUGUCAACAACUAAAGAUUAGCCUUUGCUUGUUUGUAGAAACGACAAAGUAAAGGAGCUAGAAGAGUUCAUAGUCUGAGGGGUAAACACACUGAAAAGGAUAGUGUUUCUCAUUCUGGGAGACGGUUUUAUAUCAGUCUGAGAAAAGCAUCUGAGUAGUUUUAAUCAAACACCCUGGGCUUAGGCUAGACUUCCAGUGGCUCAUCCACAUGAUGGAUGGAUAAAGAGCACUGAUUGGAGAAUCAGUGGCUCCUGAAGAGGCAGCUGUUGAAGGUUCUCGCCAGGCAAUUGUCUGGCAAUUGUCUUGAUAAAUGAGACUAUGCAGUUGCAAAGCAAACAAAGCCGAGGCCGCUAAGUUGACCAGGAAAAGUCAUUUUUUUUCCCGUUUGUAUUGUAGCGCAGGUGCCUAUAGGAGCAGAGAGACACUGGGGUGCCCAGCUGACCUUCAUUAACAUCAGAUCAGUUGCUAAUUUUAGUAAGCAUUUGAUUAGUAUUUGGGAUGUUAUGGUCAGGAAUUUCUUCAUUUUCCCCCACUGGGAAGAUCCUAUUGAAGUGAUAUCUGUGUGUUUAGUUUUCCAAGUACUAUUGACCCUUGAACAACUCAGAGGUUAGGGACGCUGGACCUUCCACACAGUCAAAAAUUUACUUAUAAUUAAUAGCCGGCCCUCUGUACAAGUGGUUCCCCCAUAUCUGUGAUUCCACAUCUACAGGCAGAUUCAACCAACCCUGGAUCAUGUAGUACUGUAUUAUUUACUACUGAAAAGAAUCCUUAUUUAAGUGGACCCAUGCAGUUCAAACCUGUGUCGUUCAAGGGUUAACUGUGGUUGGAAUUCUUGACAAUAACCCCACAGAAUGCUGCUGCUAGUAGUAGCUAUUAACUGAGUAUCUAUUGCAUGGAAAAGGAAGAAAGGCAAUACUAUGUAUUGUUUAAGAGCUGGGCACUGAAAUGAAACUCCUGGGUUUCAUUCCUCACUGUACUAUUUACAGGCUUUGUGAUUUUGAGCAAAUUAACCUUUCUGGGCCUCAAUUUUCUCAUUUGUAAAAUGGAAAUAGUAAGUGCUCCAUCCACGUUAGCAGCUGUUGUUAACAGCAUCGUUGUUGUUGUUGAUUUCUUCAGCUGACCAAUGACUGCGGGAAGAGUGCAAAGUCUGUUGUACCCAUACAUUGACCCCUUUCUGGGUCCUUCUCACAUCAAGUAUGAUGGAGGGAGAUAAGUGAGUGAACCAAAUAUCCUGGUGGUCUGAGACAUUUCCCGUCUGUGACUUCAGUUUUUCUCUCCAGCAGCAGCUUCCCAGUGAGUACGGGUGAAUUCAUUCUUUCUCAUGGAUAAUUUUUUUCUGGUUCAUUAGCUGGGAUAUCAAGGUUUUCUGGCUUACCACUGUGAAUAGAUAAACCUUUAUUGAUUUUUUUUCCAUUACCAAUGGCUGUAAGCUAAGACAUUUGAUUGGUCACAAAUUAAGGAGUUUGCCCCAACAUUCUUUUUUUGGGGGGGGCGGUAUGCGGGCCUCUCACUGUUGUGGCCUCUCCCGUUGCGGAGCACAGGCUCCGGACGCGCAGGUUCAGCGGCCAUGGCUCACGGGCCCAGCCGCUCCGCGGCAUGUGGGAUCUUCCCGGACCGGGGCACGAACCCAUGUCCCCUGCAUCGGCAGGCGGACUCUCAACCACUGCGCCACCAGGGAAGCCCUGCCCCAACAUUCUUGAAACCUCUCUGACCAGGGCAAUACUUAGUCUUAAUUAAGAUAGUGCCCUUGAGGAGCAGAGAGUUAGGAGUUAUAUUCCUGUGCUGAGAAGAAAAGGACUAAAGAGAAAAGCCUGAGACUAGACGUUUACAGAGCAGCUCAGCUGGUUGAGAGUUGGCUUUGUUUAACGCCCAACUUCUCAGAAGAUUUUCCUCGGCUGAGUGGGCUUGGUGGGACAUUAGCUUGAGAGUGUUGCUUAGCAACGAGAUUUUGUGGGACCCAAUUCUCAAAAGAGUCAAGCAACCCGUCCCCUGCCUACCCUCCACCAACCCUCAGCUACCAUCCUGAGCCUCCUAUUAGACAAUCAAGUGUGUGCUGGAGGGAGGGACCAGAGACAGGGGGCAAAGUUUAAUCUUUGAACUAAGCAGCCUGGAAGUAUUUAAUCUGUAGCACCUAGUUCCCCCGAGGGAUCCAGCCUGGACUGGAAGUGGGCAGCGCUCCAGAGACGUGGGAGUGAACGCUGCACGGAAAUACCUGCUCACCUUAGGAGAAACCAAACUUGGGGAGAAUGUUUGCGGUACACUUGAUGGCAUUUUACUUCACCAAGCUGAAGGAGGACCAGAUCAAGAAGGUGGACAGGUUCCUGUAUCACAUGCGGCUCUCCGAUGAGACCCUUUUGGACAUCAUGGCUCGGUUCCAGGCUGAAAUGCAGAAGGGCCUGGGGAAGGACACCAACCCCACAGCGUCGGUGAAGAUGCUGCCCACCUUUGUCAGGGCCAUUCCAGAUGGCUCAGAAAACGGGGAGUUUCUUUCCCUGGAUCUUGGAGGAUCUAAGUUUCGAGUCUUGAAGGUGCAAGUCUCCGAAGAGGGGAAACGAAAUGUCCAGAUGGAGAGUCAGUUCUACCCAACACCCAAUGAAAUUAUCCGAGGGAAUGGCACAGAGCUGUUUGAAUACGUAGCUGACUGUCUGGCAGAUUUCAUGAAAACCAAAGAGCUGAUGCAGAAGAAAUUACCUCUUGGCCUAACCUUUUCUUUUCCCUGCAAACAGACUAAAUUAGAAGAGGGUGUCCUGCUUUCAUGGACAAAGAAGUUUAAGGCGCGGGGAGUUCAGGGCACAGACGUAGUGAGCUCUCUGACCAAUGCUAUGAGAAAACACAAGCAGGACUUAGAUGUGGACAUCCUGGCUUUGGUCAAUGACACCGUGGGGACCAUGAUGACGUGCGCCUAUGAUGAUCCCUACUGUGAAGUUGGUGUCAUCAUUGGCACCGGCACCAACGCGUGCUACAUGGAGGACAUGCGCAACAUCGAGCUGGUGGAAGGCGACGAAGGGAGGAUGUGCAUCAACACCGAGUGGGGGGCCUUCGGGGACGACGGGGCCCUGGAGGACAUCCGCACCGAGUUCGACCAGGAGCUGGACCUCGGCUCUCUGAACCCCGGGAAGCAGCUGUUUGAGAAGAUGAUCAGCGGCCUGUACUUAGGUGAACUCGUCAGGCUCAUCUUGCUGAAGAUGGCCAAGGCAGGCCUCCUGUUUGGCGGCGAGAAAUCCUCCGCUCUCCACAUUAAGGGCAAGAUUGAAACACGGCACGUGGCUGCCAUGGAGAAGUAUAAAGAAGGCCUGGCUAAUACAAGAGAGAUCCUGACGGAUCUGGGCCUGGAGCCUUCAGAGGCCGACUGCGUCGCGGUCCAGCACGUCUGCACCAUCGUUUCCUUCCGCUCAGCCAAUCUCUGUGCAGCGGCCCUGGCAGCCAUCCUAACACGCCUGCGGGAGAACAAGAAGCUGGUGCGGCUCCGGACCACGGUGGGCAUGGAUGGCACACUCUACAAGAUCCACCCCCAAUACCCAAAACGCCUGCACAAGGUGGUGAGGAAACUGGUCCCGAACUGUGACGUCCGCUUCCUCCUGUCGGAGAGUGGCAGCACCAAGGGGGCCGCCAUGGUGACCGCAGUGGCCUCCCGCGUGCAGGCCCAGCGGAAGCAGAUUGACAAGGUGCUGGCUUUGUUCCGGCUGACCCGAGAGCAACUUGUGGGCAUUCGGGACAAGAUGCGGGUUGAGCUCGAGUACGGGCUGAAGAGGGACACCCACCCGCUGGCCACGGUCAAGAUGCUGCCCACCUACGUCUGCGGGAUGCCAGAUGGCACAGAGAAAGGAAAGUUCCUUGCCCUGGAUCUCGGGGGAACCAACUUCCGGGUCCUCCUGGUGAAGAUCAGAAGCGGACGGAGGUCAGUGCGAAUGUACAACAAGAUCUUCACCAUCCCCCUGGAGAUCAUGCAGGGCACUGGCGAAGAGCUGUUUGACCACAUUGUGCAGUGCAUCGCUGACUUCCUGGACUACAUGGGCCUCAAGGGAGCCCAGCUGCCUUUGGGCUUCACAUUCUCAUUUCCCUGCAGGCAGGCGAGCAUUGACAAGGGAACACUCAUUGAGUGGACCAAAGGCUUCAAGGCUACUGACUGUGAAGGGGAAGAUGUGGUGGACAUGCUCAGGGAAGCCAUCAAGAGGAGAAAUGAGUUUGACCUGGACAUAGUCGCAGUUGUGAAUGACACAGUGGGGACCAUGAUGACCUGUGGCUAUGAAGAUCGUAAUUGUGAGGUUGGCCUGAUUGCAGGAACAGGCAGCAACAUGUGCUACAUGGAGGAGAUGAGGAACAUUGAACUGGUGGAAGGGGAUGAAGGGAAGAUGUGCAUAAACACAGAGUGGGGAGGAUUUGGAGAUAAUGGCUGCCUAGAUGACAUCCGGACCCAGUACGACAAGGAGGUGGACGAGGGGUCCUUGAAUCCUGGCAAACAGAGAUACGAGAAAAUGACCAGUGGGAUGUACCUGGGGGAGAUUGUGCGGCAGAUCCUGAUUGACUUGACCAAGCAGGGUCUUCUCUUCAGAGGGCAGAUUUCAGAGCGUCUCCGGACCAGGGGCAUCUUUGAAACCAAGUUCUUGUCUCAGAUUGAAAGCGAUCGGCUGGCCCUCCUCCAGGUCAGGAAGAUCCUGCAGCAGCUUGGCCUGGACAGCACGUGUGAGGACAGCAUCGUGGUGAAGGAGGUGUGCGGAGCUGUGUCCCGGCGGGCGGCCGAGCUCUACGGUGCCGGCCUGGCCGCCGUCGUGGAGAAGAGGAGGGAAGACCAGGGGUUUGAGCACCUGAAGAUCACCGUGGGUGUGGAUGGCACCCUGUACAAGCUGCACCCGCACUUUUCUCGGAUAUUGCAGGAAACUGUGAAAGAACUAGCUCCUCGAUGUGAUGUGACAUUCAUGUUGUCAGAAGAUGGGAGUGGAAAGGGAGCAGCUCUGAUCACUGCUGUGGCCAAGAGGUUACAGCAGGCACGGAGGGAGAACUAGGAACCCCUUGGGGUUGGGCCGCAUGUGCCUUGGAUACUGACCAGCCUUUCCUCUGGCAGAUGAGUUGGUCAGAGACCAGCAGGCAAGCUUCUGGCUGACUUCACCUUCUGGAUAGCCAAAAGAGAACCCCAGGUUCUUGGGUACUCUUAGCAUUUUGUUACUGGUUUUCAAGGGCAUUAAAUGACAUCUCUGUUUGGCGUGUUUGGACCAAAGAUGGGCCAACUUAUAAAAUCAAAGCAUUGGGCCCAAGAGAUCCCCUUUCAGCAAGUCUUUCAGUUGAGACCUGAGCUGUUAGUUCUCUAUGGCUUUGGGUCCUGUGGCUGCUGGGCUCAGAAACAAAUACACGAUCUGCCCAUGUGGCCUGGCUGGCUGAAUUCCCCACUGGGAUGCUUCAGCCAUUGCUUGUAAUAGAUUGAGCCAUCUACUUGUGGAUGCACAUUUGAGAGGGAUUGGGGCUUAAUCAACUGGAGAUCGAAUCUAACUUGUCAUUAACUUGUCAUGUUGACUUCAAGCGUGAAGAGAGAACAAAAACUUUGGAGUAUUCAGCCCCAGGAUGAAGAAGCGUUGAUUGCCAGGGAGCCCUGUAGGAAACUUGUCAUGCUUAAAUGCUAAUUGUCACCAUGUGCUGAAGCAGGAUGUUCAGACAGACAGAAUGGAGGAGGCUGGAGGAGGUUCUCCUCUUCCUCGGUAAGACACCCCCAGCUCCGAGUCCCGCUCUCUCCUGGUUCUGCUGCGGGGUCUCUCCCUUUGCCAUCCUACCUGGAUGGAUGAUCUGGCCCAGAGAUUCAGGGAGUUGCACCACCACAUUCUCCUACA